rnacentral:rRNA from 1 species
UACGGGGGGGCAAGCGUUGUUCGGAAUUACUGGGCGUAAAGGGCUCGUAGGCGGCCAACUAAGUCGGAUGUGAAAUCCCCAGGCUCAACUUGGGGAACUGCAUCCCGAUACUGGAUGGCUUGAAUUCGGGAGAGGUGAGUGGAACUGCGAGUGUAGAGGUGAAAUUCGUAGAUAUUCGCAAGAACACCAGUGGCGAAAGGCGGCUCACUGGCCCCGAUACUGAC